UCCUAUUCUUCCUAACCUUGUGUGUUCUCC
rnacentral:piRNA from 1 species